UAAGGUGAGAAUUCCUUACAACAACUUUAAAACGAGAAGACCCUAGAAACUAAUCAUCACAACUUUUUUUGGGAUAAAACUUUAAAACAAAAGAACCACCACCCUCUUAAAUAGAACAGUUACUCUAGGGAUAACAGCACAAUAAAAGCUAAGAGAACUCAUCUACCCUUUAGAUUGUGACCUCGAUGUUGAAUCAAGGAUUAUUAGUCGCAGAAGACUAACAGGUUUCGUCUGUUCGACGAUUCAAAAAUACGUGAUUUGAGUUUAAACCGUCGCAAGACAGGUUGGAUUCUCUUUAAAGCUGU
rnacentral:ncRNA from 1 species